GUGGGGAAUUUUGGACAAUGGGCGCAAGCCUGAUCCAGCAAUGCCGCGUGCAGGAAGAAGGCCUUCGGGUUGUAAACUGCUUUUGUACGGAACGAAACGGUCGUGGUUAAUACCUGGGGCUAAUGACGGUACCGUAAGAAUAAGCACCGGCUAACUACGUGCCAGCAGCCGCGGUAAUACGUAGGGUGCAAGCGUUAAUCGGAAUUACUGGGCGUAAAGCGUGCGCAGGCGGUUUUGUAAGACAGGCGUGAAAUCCCCGGGCUCAACCUGGGAAUUGCGCUUGUGACUGCAAGGCUGGAGUGCGGCAGAGGGGGAUGGAAUUCCGCGUGUAGCAGUGAAAUGCGUAGAUAUGCGGAGGAACACCGAUGGCGAAGGCAAUCCCCUGGGCCUGCACUGACGCUCAUGCACGAAAGCGUGGGGAGCAAACAGGAUUAGAUACCCGGGUAGUCC
rnacentral:rRNA from 1 species